UGGGGAAGGAUGAGAAGCUUCGACUAAGGUUCGAUUCGAGCGCAGCGAGAAAGCGUUGCCGCAGGCAACGACCCGAAGGGCGAAGCGCGCAGCGCUGAGUAAUCCUUCCCCCACCACCA
rnacentral:sRNA from 1 species